GCUCUCUUAGCUCAGUGGUAGAGCGUGGGAUUGCAGUCCGCAACAAUCCUAAGGUCUGUCGUUCGAACCGGCAAGGGAGCU